rnacentral:rRNA from 1 species
AUACGUAGGGGGCGAGCGUUGUCCGGAAUUACUGGGCGUAAAGGGUGCGUAGGCGGUAGUCUAAGUCAGAUGUGAAAUCCCCGGGCUUAACCCGGGUGGUGCAUUUGAAACUGGGCUGCUGGAGUGCAGGAGAGGGAAGCGGAAUUCCUAGUGUAGCGGUGAAAUGCGUAGAUAUUAGGAGGAACACCAGUGGCGAAGGCGGCUUUCUGGACUGUAACUGACGCUGAGGCACGAAAGCGUGGGGAGCAAACAGGAUUAGAUACCCUGGUAGUCCACGCUGUAAACGAUGGAUACUAGGUGUAGGGGGCGUAAAGCCUUCUGUGCCGCAGCUAACGCAGUAAGUAUCCCGCCUGGGGAGUACGGCCGCAAGGUUGAA